rnacentral:misc_RNA from 1 species
AGCAGCCGCGGUAAUUCCAGCUCCAAUAGCGUAUAUUAAAGUUGUUGCAGUUAAAAGCUCGUAGUUGAAUUUCGGGGUUAGCAGGUCGGUCGUGCCAUCGGUAUGAACUGGUCUCGCUGAUCCCUCCCUCUUGACGAACUGUGAUGCCAUUAAUUUGGUGUCGCAGGGAAUCAGGACUGUUACUUUGAAAAAUUGAGUGUUUAAAGCAGGCUCACGCUUGAAUACAUUAGCAUGGAAUAAUGAAAUAGGACGUUUGAUCCUAUUUUGUUGGCUUCUAGGAUUGACGUAAUGAUUAAUAGGGAUAGUUGGGGGCAUUAGUAUUCAAUUUGUCAGAGGUGAAAUUCUUGGAUUUAUUGAAGACUAACUACUGUGAAAGCAUUUGCCAAGGAUGUUUUCAUUAAUCAAGAACGAAGUUAGGGAUCGAAGACGAUCAGAUACCGUCGUAGUCUUAACCAUAAACUAUGCCGACUAGGGAUCGGAUGAUGUUAAUUUUUAAUGUACUUAC